CCAAAGGCUCUUUUCAGAGCCACUCACAACUGCACUUGGAAGAAG
rfam:Camelus ferus unplaced genomic scaffold scaffold914, whole genome shotgun sequence.